rnacentral:rRNA from 1 species
AUACGUAGGGGGCGAGCGUUGUCCGGAAUGAUUGGGCGUAAAGGGCGCGUAUGCGGCGCGGUAAGUCUGGAGUGAAAGUCCUGCUUUCAAGGUGGGAAUUGCUUUGGAUACUGCCGCGCUUGAGUGCAGGAGAGGUUAUCGGAAUUCCCGGUGUAGCGGUGAAAUGCGUAGAGAUCGGGAGGAACACCAGUGGCGAAGGCGGGUAACUGGACUGCAACUGACGCUGAGGCGCGAAAGUGUGGGGAGCAAACAGGAUUAGAUACCCUGGUAGUCCACACUGUAAACGAUGAAUGCUAGGUGUAAGAGGUAUCGACCCCUUUUGUGCCGGAGUCAACACAAUAAGCAUUCCGCCUGGGGAGUACGGCCGCAAGGUUGAAACUCAAAGGAAUUGACGGGG